UUCCAAUAUCACCCCCGUGCCUUCCCGAUCCAGAGACAAUGAACGACUAGAUUCCGAGGUGAACUGAACUGAAGCAGAAAACCCUAAGCCACCAUCGAAGCUCAAUCAAUGGCGUUGCAAAUGGCAAUCAUUGCUCGCACGCGGUCUCUGAUCAAAACGCUUCACUCUAACUACGCUAACACAUCCGUGAAGACGAUUGCCACCUUCCCAUUCCUCUCUCAGGAGCCUCAACUCGCAGAGUCACCGGCGCCACCCGCUCCAGCCCCGCUCCCUCCGAACCCGGCCUCCGGUAGUCCUCUCUACAAUGAGAAUUGGCGCAGCCCAAUUCCACUUUCUGCAACCCAGUCAGUGAUUCCGCUGGGUUUUCUUAACCUAGUACCCGGUCAUCGCAUCCAAGCAAUGGCUCAGACAUUUGAUGUUAAGAGCUUGAUGGAUCAGUUUGGUGAUUGGAUGGCCUCUCAGGAAUGGGCUGCUAUCAAAGAGUUGUUCGAGUCUUGGGUUAAGUCAUUGGACAAGAGUGGGAAGCCGAAUAAGCCUGAUGUGAAUUUGUAUAAUCAUUAUCUGAGAGCGAACUUGAUGAUUGGUGCUUCUGCUGGGGAGCUACUUGACUUGCUAGCUGGAAUGGAGAAUUUUGAUAUCACACCUAACACUGCUUCGUUCAAUUUGGUGCUUAAAGCAAUGUACCACUCCAGGGAGACUGAAGCUGCUAAGAAGUUGCUGGAACGGAUGCUGCUGACUGGAAAUGAAUCUCGCCCUGAUAAUGAAUCAUAUGACUUGGUCAUUGGAAUGCUGUUUUUGACUGGCCAAAUUGAUGCUGCACUGAAAUAUAUAGAUUUGGCUUUGAAAUCAAGUUAUAUGUUGUCAAUGAAUGUGUUUACUAAUUGUGUAAAUAUUUGUAUCAGUAAGGGUAGGCUAGAUACCUUGGCAGCGAUAAUUGAAAAGUGCAAGACAAUGGAUCAGAACAAAGCUCUUUGCCCUCCAUGGAAUGUGUGCUAUUUAAUAGCUGAAACUGCAAUGCAGCAUGACAAUAGCAAGCUAGCUUUCUUUGCCCUGGAGUUUAUGGCUAUGUGGAUUGCAAGGGGUGAGCAGGCACGACCUGCUGCAUUGCUUUCUGUAGAUGAAGGUUUAGUUGUGUCAGCUCUAGCCACUGCUGGUAGGACCUAUAGUUCUAAUCUGCUAGAUGCAGCAUGGACUAUUUUACGUCGCUCAUUGCGUCAAAGAAAGGCUCCGAAUCCUGAAUCUUAUCUCGGGAAGAUAAAUGCCCUUGCAUCAAUGGGGAACUUACAAAGGGCUUUUUGUACGUUGCAUGACUUUGAGAUAGCCUAUGGAGAUUGCAGUCAAGAAGCUGAAGAAAUGUUCUCCCCCUUUACUUCUUUACAUCCAUUGGUUGUGGCAUGCUCCAAGAAGGGAUUUGAGACUUUGGAUUCAGUUUAUUUUCAACUGGAAAGUUUGAGCCGAGCAGAGACUCCUUAUAAAUCUGUUGCUGCUCUAAACUGCAUCAUUUUAGGUUGUGCAAACAUAUGGGACCUUGAUCGCGCAUACCAAACUUUUGAAGCAAUCGGAUCCUCUUUUGGAUUGACACCUGAUAUUCAUUCAUAUAAUGCACUGAUGCAAGCAUUUGGAAAGCUCAAAAAGACACAUGAAGCAACUAAGGUGUUUGAGCAUGUUGUGAGCUUGGGUGUAAAGCCAAAUGCAAUGUCAUAUUCUCUUCUUGUGGAUGCCCAUCUCAUGAACCGAAAUGCCAAAGAUGCUCUAGCUGUAAUUGAUGAUAUGGUGGCUGCUGGAUUUGAACCUACAAAAGAGAUGUUAAAAAAGGUUCGAAGGCGAUGCAUGCGAGAAAUGGACUAUGAGAGUGAUGACAGAGUUCAGUCCCUUGCCAACUCUCUGAACAUUCGAAUGGGUUCAGAAGCCCGUCGAGACAUCCUAUUCAAUAUUGAUUACAGCAUGGAUUAUGCUUAAAAUUAUCUUGUUAUUUAUCUCCAAGAAGUAAUCUAAGAAAAUCGGCAAAUCUUAUACCCCAUCCUUUUGGAGAGAAUCCCUGUAUGUACAUUACCGGAUGGUGUUAGAUCGUUAGCCGAGGCAGGAUGAGGAAAGAAUGGCUUAUUUAUUGCAGCUUUUCAUUUUUGUAUUAUUGAAUUGGAAGAGGACGUUAACGAUAGGGUUGUCCUAGGAGAAAGAAAGAAGUGCAUUUUGUAGCAGUUAUUUGAAUGUUGACUAAUAAUUGUAGGUCAAAUCCAAAUACACGAGAUAAUGUUAAGACUGCUUGAGCAACUUGUUGAAGCAAAAGACGGUAAAUAUUCAAUGAUGCUAUAUGUUGAUUGAAUGGUCCAGUGAGAAUCCAAAUGAGCAUCAUCACGCUAAAGCAGGCUAAAGAAAAGUACUGUGGAUUUAUUCUUGUAGAGCAGUUCCAGCAAACCACAUGAAGUUCAUCCUUAUCAUUGUAAAUAGUGCUUGCACAAUGAGUUUCAUCUAUCUUCAAUUUGAACGGAAAGAAAAGUUGAGAAAAAAAAUAAAAAAGUAAAUAUUAUCGCUCUUUAAA